AGUUUGAUCCUGGCUCAGAUUGAACGCUGGCGGCAUGCUUUACACAUGCAAGUCGAACGGUAACAGGCCUUCGGGUGCUGACGAGUGGCGAACGGGUGAGUAAUGCAUCGGAACGUGCCCAAUCGGUGGGGGAUAACGUAGCGAAAGUUACGCUAAUACCGCAUAAGCCCUGAGGGGGAAAGCAGGGGAUCGCAAGACCUUGCGCGAAUGGAGCGGCCGAUGUCAGAUUAGCUAGUUGGUGGGGUAAAGGCCUACCAAGGCGACGAUCUGUAGCGGGUCUGAGAGGAUGAUCCGCCACACUGGGACUGAGACACGGCCCAGACUCCUACGGGAGGCAGCAGUGGGGAAUUUUGGACAAUGGACGCAAGUCUGAUCCAGCAAUGCCGCGUGCAGGACGAAGGCCUUCGGGUUGUAAACUGCUUUUGUACAGAACGAAAGGGCUCUGGUUAAUACCUGGGGCAGAUGACGGUACUGUAAGAAUAAGCACCGGCUAACUACGUG
rnacentral:rRNA from 1 species